rnacentral:rRNA from 1 species
GCCUACGACCAUAUCACCCUGAAUACGCCCGAUCUCGUCCGAUCUCGGACGCUAAGCAGGGUCGAGCCUGGUUAGUACUUGGAUGGGAGACCCCCUGGGAAUACCAGGUGUUGUAGGCU